AAAUAUGCCUGCCUGCCUCUCUCUGCCUGUCUCUCUGUGUCUGUCUGUCUGUCUCUCUCUCUCACAGGUUUUCUCUUAUAUAACCCUGAUUGUUUUGGAACUCCAUGUAGAUCAGGUUGGCCUUGAACUUAACACAGAUCUGUCUUCUGCCUUCCAAGUGCCUGCCCCCCACCUUCUUGUUCUUUGAGCUGGAAUUUGAAUCCUGUACCACCAUACUAGGUUUAUUUAUUUUAUUUUCCACAGAAAUAAUAAAUAAUAGUUUAAAUCAUAUUUUAGGGAUACUUAACUUUCUCAAAAUGUAUGGAACAAAGUUUGUUGGUUGAAAUGUGAAAAUAUUAAAUUUAUUUGAGAAGACUGGAUGAGCACCUAAAAAUAAAGGCUUUUUCUUUUUUACUUUAGCAUUUUUAAAUGAGUUUUCUUAUCACUUGAAAAUAGUAAAUGGUAAAAUAUAAUCUUGAAAUGAAUGAACUUGUAUAAAUGCCUUAAAAAUACUAAAUUGAGCUGACUAGGUAACAUAAUCUGAUAAAGUGUCCUCAGUGCUAGAGUUUCAGAAAUGUAUAGCAGUGGCUGCAUUUGUUGAACUAGUAGUUUGCCAGUGAUAAAAGGUUUUGAUUCAUUACCUAGGAGAAUUUAUCCUGUAACGAGGCUUUGUAAGCAUUCAGUUGAGCAGAAUGGUGCCCUGAGUGACAGAAUUUCUCAUUUCUGGUACCAUGACAUUUAGGGCAGUUGUUGCUGUGGAGGGUUGUACCUGUGCAGUAAAGGUUACAGCAUUCCUGUCUGUACCUACUAGAUACCAGUAGUACAUCCCUUCAUUGUGACAGUGAAAAAUAUAUCUAUUGCCAAAGUUCCCUGAGACGGAGUCAUUGGAUUAUGGUGUGUCACAGUGGUGGCUACUGGGAAGCCAGUAAGAGCACCACACACACACAUGAAGUCAGACAGCUUGUGUAUUUCUCUGUGAUAUUAUUAGCUUAUGACUUACUGCUCGACGGAUUUAGUGGCAGUUUUUUGUUGUUUGUUUUGUGAUGCAUUAAACACCAAGAAGUCACUCAGUAUGAUAGAUCAAUUAAAAAAAACACUUUAAAGGUAUUAUAAACACAAAUUAAAAUAGAAUACAGAGCUGGGCAUGGUGGCACAUGCCUUUAAUCCCAGCAUUUGGGAGUACAUUUGAGGCCAGCCUGAUCUGCAUAGAUCUAGGGCAGCCAGAGUUACAUAGACACUGUCUCAAAAGAAAAAAAAGAAAA
rnacentral:lncRNA from 1 species